UACUUAUCACUUUCGCUUAGUCUCCGACUGUAUAUCGCCGAAAACGAGUAAUCAUCGUUUACAGCGUGGACUACCAGGGUAUCUAAUCCUGUUUGAUCCCCACGCUUUCGUCCCUGAGCGUCAAUUCAGGCCUAGUGAGCUGCCUUCGCUAUCGGUGUUCUGUGUAAUAUCUAUGCAUUUCACCGCUACACUACACAUUCCGCCCACUCCGACCGAAUUCAAGACUUACAGUAUCAAUGGCAGUUCUAUCGUUAAGCGAUAGGAUUUCACCACUGACUUAUAAAUCCGCCUGCGGACCCUUUAAACCCAAUGAUUCCGGAUAACGCUUGCACCCUCCGUAUUACCGCGGCUGCUGGCACGGAGUUAGCCGGUGCUUAUUCAUUUGGUACCUUCAGCUCUCUACACGUAAAGAGGUUUAUUCCCAAAUAAAAGCAGUUUACAACCCAUAGGGCAUUCUUCCUGCACGCGGCAUGGCUGGUUCAGGCUUGCGCCCAUUGACCAAUAUUCCUCACUGCUGCCUCCCGUA
rnacentral:rRNA from 1 species